rnacentral:rRNA from 1 species
AUACGUAGGUGACAAGCGUUAUCCGGAUUUACUGGGCGUAAAGGGCGUGUAGGCGGUCUUGCAAGUCAGAAGUGAAAUUCCUGAGCUCAACUCGGGCGCUGCUUCUGAAACUGCAGGGCUUGAGUACAGGAGAGGAGAGUGGAAUUCCUAGUGUAGCGGUGAAAUGCGUAGAUAUUAGGAGGAAUACCAGUGGCGAAGGCGACUCUCUGGACUGAUACUGACGCUGAGGCACGAAAGCGUGGGGAGCAAACAGGAUUAGAUACCCUGGUAGUCCACGCUAUAAACGAUGAGUGCUAGGUGUCGGGGGUCAAACCUCGGUGCCGCAGUUAACACAUUAAGCACUCCGCCUGGGGAGUACGGCCGCAAGGCUGAAACUCAAAUGAAUUGGCGGGG